rnacentral:misc_RNA from 1 species
AAAAUAAUCCUACCCUUUGUGAAUUUUGUUUGUUUGAAUAAUUUUUUUUUUUAAAAAAUUAUUGGAGUCUUUCCCUUUAGAGUUUGCUUUUGAGUUUGUAAAAGAAUUCGAAAACAUCUAAAGGGGAUGGUCAAUAAUUUUUUUGAAAAAGACAUUUUUUAAAAUUAAACUUUUGUACUCAUUUGUCUAAAAAUUAUUUUUAUAAUAUAAAAACAACUUUUGACAAUGGAUCUCUUGGUUCUCGCAACGAUGAAGACGCAGCAAAAUGCGAUAAGUAGUGUGAAUUGCAGAAUACGUGAAUCAUCGAAUCUCUGAACGCAUAUUGCACUUUUUAGUUUACUAAAAAAGUAUGUCUGUUUGAGUAUCAGUAAAAUAUUCUCAUAAAAAUCAUUGUAUUUUUAUGGUUAUGAGUGUUUUACAACGAUACAAGUUGUUUCACUUUAAAUUUUUUUUUAAUAUUGAAUUUUUCUAAUUUUAAUAAUUAAAAUUGGAUAAAAUUUUCCCGUCAAAAGGAAUAACCUAAACAAUUUUAAACGAUUAAUUUUAGCAAAAUUUUCGUAAAAAAGGAAAAUUUUUAUUAAAAUAACUUGAUCUCAAAUCAGAUAAGAGUACCCGCUGAACUUAAGCAUAUCAAUAAGCGGAGGAAAAGAAACUAACAAGGAUUCCCUUAGUAACGGCGAGUGAAGCGGGAAGAGCUCAAAUUUGAAAUCUUCAAGGUUUUACCUUGACGAAUUGUAGUUUAAAGAAGUGUUUUCUGCUGAAGUUUUGGUAAAAGUUCUUUGGAAUAGGACAUCAUAGAGGGUGAGAAUCCCGUAUUUGACCAUUAUUUUCAGCUUUGUGAUACACUUUCAAAGAGUCGGAUUGUUUGGGAAUGCAGUCCAAAAUGGGUGGUAAAUUUCAUCUAAAGCUAAAUAUUGGCGAGAGACCGAUAGCGAACAAGUACCGUGAGGGAAAGAUGAAAAGAACUUUGAAAAGAGAGUUAAACAGUACGUGAAAUUGUCAAAAGGGAAGCGUUUGACACCAGUGUUGUUUUCUCGAAAAUCAAUUAAAAAUGGCUCGAUUUUGUAUUGCUUGAGACCUUAAAAGCUCACUGUACAUUUUUCGUGUCUUUUUUAAUGCACUUUUCGUUUAACAAGUCAACAUCAGUUUCUUUUGUUGUAAAAGGGUCAUUGGAAGGUGGCUUUCUUUUCGGAGAAAGUGUUUAUAGCCUUUGGCCUCUGCAAUCGAAGAGACUGAGGUCUGCAGCGUAGACUCUUCGGGGUUAGAUACAUUUGUGCUAAGUUAUAGCCUUUUAUAGACAACUUGUUGACUAUAAUUAGUCUUGUAGCUUACUCGCUUAUGCUAUUUUACCUACGCUUAGGAUG